rnacentral:lncRNA from 1 species
GGGGAGAGGCGUUGAGACACGGUUUCUCUGUGUAGCCCUGGCUGUCCUGGAACUCAGAAAUCUGCCUGCCUCUGCCUCCCAAGUGCUGGGAUUAAAGGCGUGCACCACUACGCCCAGUGGAUUUUUCAUUUUUAAUUUAGUGUGAGUUCGCAAACUGAGUAGGAGGAGCUUGUGGCAGAGAAGUGGGAGGAGCUUGUGUGCUGUGCGUACAGGUCAGGAGAGUACUCUCAGGAAGCUACUCUCCUUUACUGUGUUAGCACCAGGAUUGAAUUCAGCUUGAUAGACUUGGCGGGAUGCCUUUUCUCAAUGAGUCAUUUUGCUCAUCCAAGAAUAGCAUUUUUUUUGUUUUGUUUUGUUUUUGUUGUUGUUGUUUUUUGGUUUGUUUGUUUGUUUCGAGACAGGGUUUCUCUGUGUAGCCCUGGCUGUCCUGGAACUCACUCUAUAGACCAGGCUGGCCUCGAACUGCCUCUCCCUGCCCAGUGCUGGGGCUAAAGGUGUGUACUACCAUGCCCAACUUGUGCUAUUAUUUUUUUAAAUUGUGCGUGUCUGCGUGUGGGUAUGUGCUUGGGAGCACAGGUACACUUGCGUGCAUGCGUGCACACACAUACAAUAAGUAAAUGUUAAAAGGUUUUGAAAUGGGGCUGGUGAGAUGGCUCAGCAGGUAAGAGCACCGACUGUGCUUCCGAGAGUCAUGAGUUCAAAUCCCAGCAACCAUAUGGUGGUUCACAACCAUCUGUAACAAGAUCUGACUCCCUUUUCUGGAAUGUCUGAAGAUAGUGUACUUAUAGAUAAUAAAUAAAUCUUUUUUUAAAAAAAAAGGUUUUAAGUACACAAGGCCCAUUUUUACACUGAUGUUUAAAGUGAACUUACUGCAGAAUCCUAGUACCCAGAAGCAGGAAAUUUAGAAUUCCAUAAUAUCCCAGAACCCCAGUGCUGUAACAGAUAUCUGGUGGCAAUAUUUUUCAUUUUAUGAAUGAGAUUCUAUAAUCCUAUGGACUCCCGAUGUCCUGAUUAUAGAUUCAACAAAAUGAGGGAGGGCUGGGGAAGAGACAACACCUGGACUAUGAGGACAGGUGUGUGCGCAUCUCUCUGUCUCUCAUACACACACACACAAUUUAAAAAAAAAUCAAUCUUUAACAACAGAGCUAUAUGCCUUCUUUCACCCCAUGUAUCUAACCCCUGCCUAGUGCUAGCCUAAGGGACCCUGGCCAGAUCCCUGCAUGUCUAUGUGCUUGACUUCUUUAGCAUAAAGGGGGUUUUCCAGGAUUUCCUGCAUUUCAGGACCUGGGAAGUCACCACUGUACCCUUCUAAUAAAUACAAAUCUGAACAAGCC